rnacentral:rRNA from 1 species
CUUAAGGCUCAAAAAGAAGUGCUUGAUGAAAUGAAUAGUAAGAAAAAUGAUUAUGCUGUUAGAGUGGCUACUAGAACUGGUAGAAUGACUCAGGAACCUUUGUAUCCUGAAGGCCACCCUAAGAGAAUCGAGCAAGAUUCUCAGAGAAAUAAUAUUGAUGUUCCUAGUUCUCCUAAAAAGAAGAAGAAGAAAAAUGAUAGAACUGUGCAAACUUCUAGUGAACCUAUUGCUGAACCACCUGAUAAUCCAAAUGAUAUUUCUAUGUCUGAUGCUGAAAGCCUGAAACACAAUCUGGUAAUGAACAUGAACCUAAUGAAAAUAUUGAUAAUGAUGUUCAUGAUGAUGCUCAACCUAGUAAUGAUAAUGAUGUAG